GAAAUGCGAUACUUAAUGUGAAUUGCAACCCCCUGUGAAUCAUCGAGUUUUUGAACGUAAAUUACACCUUUUUGGAUGGUAAAACAUUGCGAAAGGGUAUACAUUUUUAAGAGUAACGAAAAAAAAGAUCCAAAUUUUUCAUUUGGGGUAAUAACGGUCAAUAUUCGGGUUUUGUUCAAGGUAUUAUCGAACUGUUAUCUACUUUUUAGGGAUAAUAGGGCUUUGACUACUACUUUUUAGGGUAUCAUCGCUCGAUUUUAUAGUAGGGCAUUUUUUGAAUUUGAUCUCAAAGACUUGACAGAUUGUUCUUGUUUUUACUUUUAUGCUGGACCUUAAAGAUGUAUGGAAACCUGCUGAAUUUAA
rnacentral:misc_RNA from 1 species